rnacentral:sRNA from 1 species
UUCUAUCUGCUAUAAUAUCGAUAGAGAAGUGUGAGACGGAAGGCUAGUCUAUUGGAAAGGGUGAUGCCUUAUCUAUCUUAAUUUGUCGUUGCCCCCAGAAAGUGCAACAAGUGUCUGUGUAUGAAGCUCUGAGCAUUGCAAUAUCCUUUGCCACGCUCGUUCUCUACAUCGAUCGUGAUAA